rnacentral:rRNA from 1 species
UACAGAGGUGGCAAGCGUUGUUCGGAAUUACUGGGCGUAAAGGGCGCGUAGGCGGCCUUCUAAGUCAGACGUGAAAUCCCCCGGCUUAACCUGGGAACUGCGUCUGAUACUGAUAGUCUUGAGUAUGGGAGAGGUGAGUGGAACUGCGAGUGUAGAGGUGAAAUUCGUAGAUAUUCGCAAGAACACCAGUGGCGAAGGCGGCUCACUGGCCCAUUACUGACGCUGAGGCACGAAAGCGUGGGGAGCAAACAGGG